AUCGAAGGCAGAUAUGAAUGAAUGAUGCUCAAUCUUUUUUAAUAUUGAAGGCAAAUACAAGAUGAAUGUUUUUUCUUUUUAGCAAUUGGAAGCAUAUGCAAAAUAGAAUGUCCACCUUUUCUUUUAAGAAUUAAAGUUGGAUGUAAGAUAUUCGUUUUUCCUUUUUAAGAAUUGAAAACAUAUAUAUGAUGGAUAACAC
rnacentral:lncRNA from 1 species